GCUGGCGUGGCUCAAUUGGCAGAGCAGCUGACUUGUAAUCAGCAGGUUAUCGGUUCAAGUCCGAUCGCUAGCUCCA
rnacentral:tRNA from 2 species